AGUACAAUUGUUGGGCUGUAUGGUAAAUGUAUGUUUAAUUUUUUAAGAAACUGCCAAACUAUUUUCCAGAGUGGUUUUGCCAUUUUACUUUCCCACCAGCAAU
rnacentral:pre_miRNA from 1 species